rnacentral:rRNA from 1 species
AGAGUUUGAUCCUGGCUCAGAACGAACGCUGGCGGCGUGCCUAACACAUGCAAGUCGAACGGUAACAGAACUAGCUUGCUAGUUGCUGACGAGUGGCGCACGGGUGAGUAACGCGUGGAUAUCUGCCUAUUAGUGGGGGACAACUUGUGGAAACGCAAGCUAAUACCGCAUAAUCCCUACGGGGGAAAGCAAGGGGGACCUUCGGGCCUUGUGCUGAUAGAUGAGUCCGCGUCUGAUUAGCUAGUUGGUAAGGUAAAGGCUUACCAAGGCGAUGAUCAGUAUCUGGUUUGAGAGGAUGAUCAGACACACUGGAACUGAGACACGGUCCAGACUCCUACGGGAGGCAGCAGUGGGGAAUAUUGCACAAUGGGGGAAACCCUGAUGCAGCGACGCCGCGUGUGGGAAGAAGGCCUUCGGGUUGUAAACCACUUUCAAUUGGGAAGAAGAGAUGAGGUUUAAUACACUUCUGAUUUGACGGUACCUUUAGAAGAAGCACCGGCUAAUUUCGUGCCAGCAGCCGCGGUAAUACGAAAGGUGCAAGCGUUGUUCGGAUUUACUGGGCGUAAAGAGAGUGUAGGUUGUUUAUUAAGUCGGAUGUGAAAUCCCGGGGCUCAACCUCGGAACUGCAUUCGAUACUGGUAGGCUAGAGUUUGGGAGGGGUAAGCGGAAUUCCGUG